AUGGAGUCUAAUGCUGGAUCAUCCUCUUCCCCAAGUGAAACGUUCAGUGAAAUAGAUAAUCAUAUGGAAUGUCUCUAUAUUACACCAAACGAGGCUGUUUGGCGCUUGCCUGAGUAUCACAUUCACCCUACAUACCUGUCCACAAAAAGACUCCCUGUUAUACUUAAUGGAAUGAAGAAUGAUUCAGUAUCCCAGUUCCCCAUAGGUCAUGUCAAAAAGAAAAGCUUCUCAAUCAACAACGCACACGUGCUUCGCUCUACAAAGCCAUCUCCAAUCAAAGAAUUGAUGACCCAUCCAUCUUCAACAAUAAAUAUUGAGAGUAUGAUGAUCCAAACACCAGAGGACUCAAACAAUACUACACAUCCCUCUUGCCCAGGCGCAACUAUCAACACUCAGAAAAAACAAGACAAGCACUCUUUAGCUAAAAGGAUCGCUGAAUUUACAGAAGAUGAAACCACCAACAAAGAGAGUCAAAAGGAGGUUGAUCUUGAGGCUGCAGAACUUCAUCUUCAAGUUGUCAAAAAGCAUAAGCAACACAAUGCAGGAAACAACAUGACAAUGAAUAGCUAA
rnacentral:rRNA from 1 species